rnacentral:lncRNA from 1 species
UGAAAAGUAAACUUUCUCUCACCUCUUCCCCAUUCCCCCCAAAAUGAAAAGGGUAACCCUCGUCUCCUUCACUCAUCGCCCAUUUCUUCCGGUCAUUAUUGUCGAUCGAGCCUGUAUGAACAUUCAUCGAAGCAGUCCAGCCUCCUGUAAUCUACCACCGUUUUUGGAUUUUUCUCUCAUUUCUCCCCCAUUUUCCCCAAAAAUCAAAAACCUACUCCUCUCUCUUUGACUCCCCUCCCCAUUUUCCUCCGGCUGUCGACUCCCCUCCGACCAUCUUUAAACAUCCAGCUUUGUCGUCACAGUAACCGAACUCGUCACCAUCUCGUGUAAGGUACGAAAUUUAUUGAAUUUUUUGAAAGUCAUCUGUUUUUGGUAUACUUCAAAGCUUUGCCAUUUGUUAUAGUUUUCAUUUUUACAAAUUAGGAAUGUUGAAAUUUUGCAUAUUUGGGUUUAAUUUUUUAGAAAUAAUGUGAAGGCAGUACCCUGUUUGCUCUAAGCUAUGCGUGGAAUUGCAAUUUGGUUAGAUUAAUUGGUAGAUAACAAGGUAUAUUGGUAUUUCAUAGUACGCAUAUGUCUUUGGGCGAUUAAAAACUCGAGACUAGUUUUUUUUUUUUUUUUUGGUUACAGAAUUUAAUCAGUGAGUACGAGUUCUUAAUUGGUGCACUUUUACUCUUUUACUUGCUUCGUUGCUUCUGGGGGUGAUUUGGGGAUAGUGGCUGGCUGAAACUCGAUCAAGUAAGUUAGUUCUACAUCACAAUGAUCAAGAUUACAUAUGCAGUAGCAUUGCUCAGAGCUGUCUUAAGUGGAUAUUAGUUCUUUCUAAAUCUCUGGGAUGUAUAACUAAACUAACGUAAUAUGAAUUUUUGAUAUUAAGGAGACAAGACAAUAAAGAAACAUGACUUUAAUUGAGCGUUUUUAAGAGUCAAAAUCUAUUACUGUGACGUAGGGAGUAACAGCUAACUUGAAAGGGUGAAAGCAGAAAAGUCAUCUCUGAUUUUCUUUGGAAGAUGUAUUUUUGAAGAAGGUAUCCAUGAGGAGGAGCAACUGAUAAAAAAAUGUGCUGCAAGAUCAAUAUUUAGAUAAAUCAUCAAAAAACUAUAGUCUUAAAUGCCUCACUUUUAACUUGUUAAACCCUUAUUUAAGAAAUCGUACCUACUUAGCAUUAUAGAAAUUCUCACUUCAAUGCAGGAAAAAAACUCGUAGGAAGUGUCAUCAGGGUUGAAUUAAUAAGGAAUCUAGGCCAUUUUCAGCAAUAACACUCCUUUAUAAUUUUUCUGUGUUAUUUUUUCUCUAUUUUGCUUGUGAAUGGAUCAUGAAUAUAUAGUGAAUCAAAAAAGUGUAAAAUUGAAAAGUUCUUUGAUAGCUAUUACUGUGAGUAUAGAGUUGGAGAAGUCUCCCUAGAAUUAGGUUUCCUUAUCCUAAAUUUUUUUGCCCCCAUUAAAAACACAGCAUAUGAUUGGUAGCUAGUGUGAUGUAAUUCAUGAACUAACUAGGUCAAGAUCUUGAAGUUCAAACGUAUCUUACCCUCUUCAAUCAUUGUAUAAUGCAAUCAACCGUUUUUCUACUUGUUAAGCAUAAUUUGUUGAACACAUACGUAUCUCUCUCCGUAUAUAUGUGGGUGCACUUGUAGAUGAUUUAUGUUUUCCUUUUUCUGAACUAAUAUAUCACCGUUAACUGUGUGAUGGUCCUGCAGCUCUAGGACUAUAUUAGAAAAAUACCUGAAGCACACAGUCAGCAUAGCUGAGGAUCACAAGACUGCAGACAAGUUGUCUAUGGCAAAACGAAGCCAAAUGCAUUUCCAUCUUGCUCAUUAUGUAGAUGAUCUAUUUCGUAGUUCUGAAGAGAGACUUAACUCGAAUGAAUGGCAAGUAACAAAUCCCUGUGACGGAAAUCGUUUCUUGGUCUUUAUAAUUAUGCUUGUUCCUCCUUUAACUAUUGAAUAUUUGGCAUGACUGGAACAUUAAACAUUUGUACUUUUCUUUUCACACAUGGGUUGAUGAGGUUAUUCCUGAUGUGCCGGUGGUGAUAAAUCAAGAGUUCAUUCUCAAGCACCAAAUAAGAUUAUUUUAAGAUGCUAAAAAGAUCAUGAGGGCUAUCCUGCUCAUUUCUUCCUUUAUCUGUUUGGUUUAAAAUUUAUAAUGUUCCUUCACUUCUAUUUAAACUGAAAUUGGUUACUGUCGUUUGUGUUUUGUCCAGCCUUCAACUUAUUUCAAUAGAUAACUAAAUCUCUAUUGUAUUUUCUGAAUUUAGAUUCAUACUCAAUCAGAGUUUUCUUAGGACGAGCUUCUCUUUAUGGCGAUCAUGAAGGUUGAAUUUACCCAUUGCAUUCAAAGAUAGAUGCAAGCCAAUGAGAAAGUAACGGGAAGGAUUUUUGAGAGCUAGCCAAUCCAACGGUUUGAAGACAGCAAGUUGUAAAUUAUCUUCUUUUAUACAAUAAUUUUCUGUUGUUUAAGAGGAGUGUAAGAUAAUAUUUAUUUGAUGGGCAAUAUGUAAAUCAAAAUUUUUCUUUGAUUCAUUACAAUGAUGUGUUUUGUCUAUUUGUAUGGAUUAAUAAAAUUAUAUCAAUUUCAUGCAAGCCCAAAAAGUCCUUUUUAUUUUGUGGUUA